rnacentral:lncRNA from 1 species
GUGCCCCGGGACCUGGGCGGGUCUCGCCCUUCUCACCCCCACCCGGGGGGGGUGGCGGCCCCGGGCCUGGGGCGGGUCUCUCACGGAGGAGGGGUGCCAGCCCUGUGACUGAGGUAGAAGUUGCCUGGGCUUUGGCAGGGCUAGGAGGAAGCUGGCCUGGAAGGUAGGGGUUUGCCUAGGGCUUAGGAGGUCCGGGUCGGUUCUCUGCUCUCACACAGACUUCCCAUGUGACCUUGGUUGAGGCAUUUAGGCUCAGACGUUUCAUGGUGUUUAGCAGUUGGCUGCUCAGCAUUGCAAUUCCUAGCUACUUUCGGUAUCUAAAUCUCAUUUUUGAAUCUUACUGUCAAAACGAGAGAUGUAAGUUUCUAAAUCAGCUAGGCAUUAACGAUAACAUUAAAGACUAUCCAAACGCGUGCAUAUGAAGGAACAGAAUUUAGGUUCCGUGCAUAACUUCAGUUUGGUACUUGCUGACUUUUAAGUGUAUAACUUUGUGACCUUAAAGUUCAGCUUGCCUGAGGAAGAAGGAAACAAAAUGUGCGUUCCAGGUAGAUGACCGAACAGAGAUGCCUCCUUGUGUAACUGUUCUGAUUAUUGGAGCUGGAUGCCGGGGAAAACACUACUCUUAUUUUGCUGUACAUUUCCCCAGCCGAAUGAAGGUAGUUGGAGUUGCAGAUCCUCGUGCUUUUGCUAGAAAUGAUCUUCAGAAGAUUCACAGCAUUGACAAGAAAAAUGUAUUUAAUGGUAAUAUUUGCCUCGCUGUCUUGUUCUAU